rnacentral:rRNA from 1 species
AGCAGUAGCCACGGUAAAACGUAGGUGGCAAGCGUUGUCCGGAAUUAUUGGGCGUAAAGGGCUCGCAGGCGGUUUCUUAAGUCUGAUGUGAAAGCCCCCGGCUCAACCGGGGAGGAUCAUUGGAAACUGGGAAACUUGAGUGCAGAAGAGGAGAGUGGAAUUCCACGUGUAGCGGUGAAAUGCGUAGAGAUGUGGAGGAACACCAGUGGCGAAGGCGACUCUCUGGUCUGUAACUGACGCUGAGGAGCGAAAGCGUGGGGAGCGAACAGGAUUAGAUACCCCCGUAGUCCCUGUCUCUUAUAC